rnacentral:lncRNA from 1 species
AAAUUUUUACAAGUUUAAAAGUAUUUAAAUAUACAGAUGUGUUUGAAAGGUCCUAAGAGCUAGGGGCUAAGGCUUCAUGAUCCUCCAGUGCUUGCUCCAAGGGAACAUCAUCAGCUACUGGUCACAUCGAAAGGAUUGGAUGAUCAUCGCAAGGGGGAAGGCAAGCACAUACAACACACACAAUGCAAGGGUAAGCUAGGUAUAAAAAGCAUGUUAUCAAUCAAGUAUUUCAAGCAUGCAAGAACCACAAACAAUACAGACUAUGACCAAAUGUAUUUUAUUGAUACCAAUGACCGACCACGUGAUUUGACCAUCCGGACUAGUAUGAAAUAUCGAGUUCCAGAGGUUUGUGCACUUGUGGUGCCCUAUUGCUUUGCAAAGCCAUUGCCGAGAGGUUUCACCCGACCACACACAAGGUUAGUCCGUUACAGCGGUAUAGGCCUAUAGUGAAAGCGCCUAUCCUAGGAUCUCCUGCUAUUCUCACGACAUGACUCAUCACUCUCUACUUGAGCUUGGAUGAUCAUUAAAAUGUCAGGAUAAACCCCAUUGGGAACUCCAGCCAUUCAUACGGUCAAUCACAACAAAGUACAUGGCACCAUCAUGUAACCUCCCUUGAGGAUCAUGGAAUUACAUCCAAUAACCAUACUUUUCACUUUCCACACCAUGCAUAUCUCUUACAUUCAUAUACUUUCAAUUUAGCCAUAUAACAUCAAUCAUACUUUUACUUUAAAACUUAACUCAAGCCAAGAACAACUGAAUACCAUAAUAUUAUCACAUUGAAUCCAAACAUAUAACCUUUAAAUUUUACAUUGCAUACCAACAUAUAUAUAAAUGUUAUUUAUACUUUAAAAGAUCACAAACAACCCAACAAGUCAUCAAAAUCGCAUGAAACCAUUCAAUAUACAUUAGUAGACAAUAAUAGUUCUAGAAGGACCACUAAACAACACAAAACCCAGUGAACUCAUACUUAAACAAAGAAAUGACUUUGAAACCAUCACCAACAGUUUCGAAAGGGUCAAAAACCCCCAGAACGACCUAAAGAACAACCAUAAAUGAUACCUGGAACCCUGAAAACCAUCCAAAAUUGUCCUGAAUGAUUUUCCAACAACAAUAAUCGAUUACUAUAUAUAAUAAUCGAUUAUUUACAAGAACUUUGAAGAAAAUAUGAUGUUCUGACUAGAAUAAUCGAUUAUUACAUAUAAUAAUCGAUUAUUCUUAUCAGUAUUUGACAGCAACCUGAUUUUUCUGAAUUUAGUGCACCUGAUACACUUUGAUGAGUUUCUAAAACUCCUAACUUGAUUUAUAUGUUGGAUUGAACUUGUCUAAAUGAUCAUAAGUCUUUCUAACCCCAUUCUUUAAUGUUUGUGCAUCAAUUUUCCUCCAAAAACUCUAAGUUUCACUAACUUUGAGAUCAAAUUCUAAUUCUACUACUUAGCAAUUGUUUCUUACCAAUUUAACACUCCUAAUAAGUCACAAUUGACUUACCUAAACCAUUCCAAUUGACUAAAUCAGCUCCUAACCCCAAAUGCCCAAAUCGACUAUCUCACUUCCUCCCAUAUGCCUUAAAAACCAGUAGAAAUGGCUAACUAAUCAUGUUAUUCUUAAAGCAGAUUCAACAACAUUGAACAACUUGGUCUCAACAAUAUAUCACAUCAAGACUCAAACUUACAAACACAAAUCUACAGUUUCAUGCUCAGAUACACAAACAUCAUAUCGUUUACAGACAAGAUUACUCAAACUUAAAUCAACAGCAAAAUUAUCUAUUUCCUAAUUUAUACAUGCAUCUUUCUACAAUUUAAUAAUGCCUAAAUCAUGCACAUUCUAAUUCAUAAAACAGAACAGAAAACCCCUAGCUCCCCUUACCUCAAUUGAAGCAAAAUCCCAGAUCACAAGAACCCUAGCUCUUAGCUGGCCUCACAAGAAAAUCCACAAAUCCUAACAAUCACCGAAUGGGUGAUAGAGGUUAGCUCUUAAAACAAUAUUUGGAGCUGAGAGUUGAAGAAGAUGGUUACUAACAACAUGCAACAGAGAAAAUUGCAUGAUCCUAGCUAAAGAAAAUACAAAGAAAAAGAAAGACGACUUACCGUUAGCGAAACAAGAAAUCAACUGAUCGGAUCGAAGCCCACAACUUCAAGACUACCUAGGCUGCUUUUGUUCAACAAUUCAAAGGUUCAAUUUGGAAAUUUAAGUGGAAAGAAGGUAGGGGAAAAAGGAAGAGCAAGCAGCAGAGAAAUAGCUUUUCAGAUGAAGGAAUGGAUUAAAACCAGCGUUUCAAAAAUUUCAUUCUAAAGUGUUC